rnacentral:rRNA from 1 species
AGUGAACGCUGGCGGUAGGCCUAACACAUGCAAGUCGAACGGCAGCACAGUAAGAGCUUGCUCUUACGGGUGGCGAGUGGCGGACGGGUGAGGAAUACAUCGGAAUCUACUUUUUCGUGGGGGAUAACGUAGGGAAACUUACGCUAAUACCGCAUACGACCUACGGGUGAAAGCAGGGGAUCUUCGGACCUUGCGCGAUUGAAUGAGCCGAUGUCGGAUUAGCUAGUUGGCGGGGUAAAGGCCCAUCAAGGCGACGAUCCGUAGCUGGUCUGAGAGGAUGAUCAGCCACAGUGGAACUGAGACGCGGUCCAGACUCCUACGGGAGGCAGCAGUGGGGAAUAUUGGACAAUGGGCGCAAGCCUGAUCCAGCCAUACCGCGUGGGUGAAGAAGGCCUUCGGGUUGUAAAGCCCUUUUGUUGGGAAAGAAAAGCAGCAGGUUAAUACCCCGCUGUUCUGACGGUACCCAAAGAAUAAGCACCGGCUAACUUCGG